UACGAAGGGGGCUAGCGUUGCUCGGAAUGACUGGGCGUAAAGGGCGCGUAGGCGGAUGGCUUUGUCGGGCGUGAAAUUCCAGGGCUUAACCUUGGGGCUGCGUUCGAGACGGGUUGUCUUGAGUGGGGAAGAGGGUCGUGGAAUUCCCAGUGUAGAGGUGAAAUUCGUAGAUAUUGGGAAGAACACCAGUGGCGAAGGCGGCGACCUGGUCCUUUUACUGACGCUGAGGCGCGAAAGCGUGGGGAGCAAACAGG
rnacentral:rRNA from 1 species